rnacentral:rRNA from 1 species
CCUACGGGUGAUAGCAGUGAGGGAUAUUGGUCAAUGGGGGAAACCCUGAACCAGCAACGCUGCGUGAACGAAGAAGUUAUUCGUAAUGUAAAGUUCUUUUAACAGGGAAGAAAGAGAAAUUUGACGGUACCUGAAGAAUAAGCUCCGGCUAACUACGUGCCAGCAGCCGCGGUAAUACGUAGGGAGCGAGCGUUAUCCGGAAUUAUUGGGCGUAAAGGGUGCGUAGAUGGCAUAGUAAGUCUUUUGUAAAAAUGCUGGGCUCAACCCAGUAGGGCAAAAGAUACUGCAAAGCUAGAGUAUGACAGAGGCAAGUGGAACUACAUGUGUAGCGGUAAAAUGCGUAAAUAUAUGUAAGAACACCAGUGGCGAAGGCGGCUUGCUGGGUCGAUACUGACAUUGAGGCACGAAAGCGUGGGGAGCAAACAGGAUUAGAUACCCUGGUAGUC